ensembl:snoRNA
AUCCUUUGUAGUUUAUAAACAUGAUGAUUGGGUUUCACACUCCUGUGGGAGAUAUGCCUCCCUCAAACCUCCGCACAUUACCAGUAAUCCGACA